GACGAACCGUGCGAACGUUUAUUCGGAAUCACUGGGCUUAAAGCGCGUGUAGGCGGAAGGGCACGUCUGUCGCUGAAAUCCCCCGGCUCAACCGGGGAACGGGCGCAGAUACGACUCUUCUGGAGGAACGUAGGGGGACCUGGAACUUCCGGUGGAGCGGUGAAAUGCGUUGAGAUCGGAAGGAACGCCCGUGGCGAAAGCGAGGUCCUGGACGUUUUACUGACGCUGAGACGCGAAAGCCAGGGGGAGCGAACGGG
rnacentral:rRNA from 1 species